rnacentral:rRNA from 1 species
AUAUUCCACAAUGGUGUCAAUCGUGAUCCAGCCAUGCCGCGUGUGUGAAGAAGGUAUUCGGAUUUUAAUGCACUAUAAGUUGGGAGGAAGGGCUUUAGUCUAAUACCCUGAAGUUUUGACGUUACCAACAGAAUAAGCAUCUGCUAACUCUUUUCCAGCAGCCGCGGUAAUACAGAGGGUGCAAGCGUUAAUCGGAAUUACUGGGAGUAAAGCGCGCGUAGGUGGUUCAGUAAGAUGGGUGUGAAAUCCCCGGGCUUAACCUGGGAACUGCUUUCAUAACUGCUGAGCUAGAGUACGGUAGAGGGUAGUGGAAUUUCCUGUGUAGCGGUGAAAUGCGUAGAUAUAGGAAGGAACACCAGUGGCGAAGGCGACUACCUGGACUGAUACUGACACUGAGGUGCGAAAGCGUGGGGAGCAAACAG